UUAGAAAACAAAACAGCUUUCAGCAAACAGGUGUCAGAGAAGAUAUAUACAUAGCCAGGCUAGAGCAUUAUUAGAUAUUUCAGCAAGGUUUGCUAGGAAAGGAACUAUUUGCUUGAAGAGCCUGAACAGCAGAUUGAGAUUGAUUCAAGACAUGAUGAUUGAAGUAAUUCUCCAUUACUUCAUUGCUAUUGAUUAUGGCAAGCGAUUCGACACACGAACUACCAGACGGAGACUGAGAGUCUUGGAAACACAGGAACCAAAAUGUAUAUGGAAGAAGAAUAAAUAAGAAGUAUUUUAAACAUGUGCCUGAUAAGCUAGUUUCAUUACUGUUCAGACUUAUAAUGGAAUCAGGUGAUGAGAUGGA